UGCUGAGGGGAAAGGACUCAAGAAAGAGGAAAGUUACCCACAUGGGCCAACUGGAAGAAUCAGGAAUGGACUUUUAAAAAUGUCAUUUCGAACAUUGACAGAGCUUUAUUGACUUAAGAUCAUAGAUUAUUCAGUUUACCAUAUCAAAAUAGGUUUAUUUUAUUUUAUAUGUAUGAGUACUUGCCGGCAUGUAUGUAUCUGAACCGUGUGCUACCUGUUUCCCAGAACACAUCAGAGACCCUGGAACUGGAGUAAAACUUUUGGCCUUCAGAUGGAAGGACACUUCAUGCCAGAAGCAAGGCAUCCAGAUGAAGAAGCAUGAAGCUGGGGUGCGGGGGGCCAGCUCUGCCACUGACUAGUCACAAGACUGAGCAGGGUCACUGUAUCCCUGCUGCCAUCUCCCUAGUGUGUGAAAUGGACCUGGAAAUCACACCCUAUCCAUUUUACUGGGCUGUUGCCUUGCUCAAAUGAUGUCGUUUAAAUGCGAACUCUAAAAAUGAUCAAGUCCUUAAUCUCCCUCACCAGAGCAGGCAUUGUGGUGUCCACAGGCACUCAUGCAUGCACACACACACACACACACACACACACACACACACACACAAGCUUAAGAAUCAGAAAACAUCCCUUCCUCCUUAACUCUGUUUCUGGUAGGUAGAUGACAUUCUUCACAGGAGAGUAGAGCCCUCAUUGGGCACACACUCCUUACAAGAACUUCUCUCAACACGGCACAGAAAGCAGCAUUCAGUUCCACCCAUCAGUUCUGGGGUAGGAAUCUUAUCCAGUAGUAAGGAAAGCCUGAAAUACAAGUUCAAGAAGCUAAAGCUCCUUGAAGAAAAGGUUCCCUUGUUCUGUAGAAUUCGAUAGUAUGUUACUCCAAAUUGCGUGUUUUUGAAAUACACAGUUG